ensembl:lncRNA
UAAAAAUGCAUCUGUGACUUAAUAUUGCUUCUUAUUUUUCAGUGGGUUGAAAGUUCUCAUUAAACACAUAGCUUUAUUCUCAUCUCUAUGCAUAUUCAGACGUUGUGCAUAUUUCUGAAUCAAUUUUUUUAACUUUUUAACAUCAUAAUAUUGGUUGUCUUCUCUUUUUUCAGAGUUUAGCUCCAACCCCAGUUAAGCAGACCUGGGCAGCGGAUCAAGGAUCACCAGAAACUCUGCAGAACAUUGGUCCUCCAGCCCAGGACUGGACACCAGUGUUGUCAAAGACAGCUACAAUGAAGCCACAAACGCAGUUCAUAGUUCCUGUAUUUCUAUAAUGCAUUAAUGAAUAACAAUAAUUUAAAAAAAAUGUAAUGUCAAGGUUUUGUGUUAAUUCCAGCUAUGUUGAGUAUUCUGUGAAUAAUUUUGAUUUUAGGUGCAUAUUCAUAAUUCUUUGCAAAACAACCUGAACUGUUUGCUAUUGAAAUGUUGGUA